CGCCUGGGGAGUACGGGAGAGGUAACGGCUCACCAAGGCAUCGACGGGUAGCUGGUCUGAGAGGACGAUCAGCCACACUGGGACUGAGACACGGCCCAGACUCCUACGGGAGGCAGCAGUAGGGAAUCUUGCGCAAUGGGGGCAACCCUGACGCAGCAACGCCGCGUGGGGGACGACGGCCUUCGGGUUGUAAACCUCUUUUAGCAGGGAAGAAGCGCUAGUGACGGUACCUGCAGAAAAAGCACCGGCUAACUACGUGCCAGCAGCCGCGGUAAUACGUAGGGUGCAAGCGUUGUCCGGAAUUAUUGGGCGUAAAGAGCUCGUAGGCGGUUUGUCGCGUCUGCUGUGAAAAUCCGAGGCUCAACCUCGGACCUGCAGUGGGUACGGGCAAACUAGAGUGCGGUAGGGGAGAUUGGAAUUCCUGGUGUAGCGGUGGAAUGCGCAGAUAUCAGGAGGAACACCAAUGGCGAAGGCAGAUCUCUGGGCCGUAACUGACGCUGAGGAGCGAAAGCGUGGGGAGCGAACAGGAUUAGAUACCCUGGUAGUCCACGCCGUAAACGGUGGGAACUAGAUGUGGGGUCCGUUCCACGGAUUCCGUGUCGCAGCUAACGCAUUAAGUUCCCCGCCUGGGGAGUACGG
rnacentral:rRNA from 1 species